GGUUUGGGUGGCUGGAUAAAGGCCUUGGGAAUGUGGCUCUCUCCGGGGAGUGUUAUAGCCCAAGGUGCCAUGCAGCCCACCUGGACCGAGGACCGCGCUCCGGCUAGGAUGCUGGCGUAAUGGUUGUAAGCG
rnacentral:rRNA from 1 species